rnacentral:rRNA from 1 species
AGUCGAACGCUUUGUGGUUCAACUGAUUUGAAGAGCUUGCUCAGAUAUGACGAUGGACAUUGCAAAGAGUGGCGAACGGGUGAGUAACACGUGGGAAACCUACCUCUUAGCAGGGGAUAACAUUUGGAAACAGAUGCUAAUACCGUAUAACAAUGACAACCGCAUGGUUGUUAUUUAAAAGAUGGUUCUGCUAUCACUAAGAGAUGGUCCCGCGGUGCAUUAGCUAGUUGGUAAGGUAAUGGCUUACCAAGGCGAUGAUGCAUAGCCGAGUUGAGAGACUGAUCGGCCACAAUGGGACUGAGACACGGCCCAUACUCCUACGGGAGGCAGCAGUAGGGAAUCUUCCACAAUGGGCGAAAGCCUGAUGGAGCAACGCCGCGUGUGUGAUGAAGGGUUUCGGCUCGUAAAACACUGUUGUAAGAGAAGAAUGACAUUGAGAGUAACUGUUCAAUGUGUGACGGUAUCUUACCAGAAAGGAACGGCUAAAUACGUGCCAGCAGCCGCGGUAAUACGUAUGUUCCAAGCGUUAUCCGGAUUUAUUGGGCGUAAAGCGAGCGCAGACGGUUAUUUAAGUCUGAAGUGAAAGCCCUCAGCUCAACUGAGGAAUUGCUUUGGAAACUGGAUGACUUGAGUGCAGUAGAGGAAAGUGGAACUCCAUGUGUAGCGGUGAAAUGCGUAGAUAUAUGGAAGAACACCAGUGGCGAAGGCGGCUUUCUGGACUGUAACUGACGUUGAGGCUCGAAAGUGUGGGUAGCAAACAGGAUUAGAUACCCUGGUAGUCCACACCGUAAACGAUGAGUGCUAGGUGUUUGAGGGUUUCCGCCCUUAAGUGCCGCAGCUAACGCAUUAAGCACUCCGCCUGGGGAGUACGACCGCAAGGUUGAAACUCAAAGGAAUUGACGGGGACCCGCACAAGCGGUGGAGCAUGUGGUUUAAUUCGAAGCAACGCGAAGAACCUUACCAGGUCUUGACAUCCCUUGACAACUCCAGAGAUGGAGCGUUCCCUUCGGGGACAAGGUGACAGGUGGUGCAUGGUUGUCGUCAGCUCGUGUCGUGAGAUGUUGGGUUAAGUCCCGCAACGAGCGCAACCCUUAUUACUAGUUGCCAGCAUUCAGUUGGGCACUCUAGUGAGACUGCCGGUGACAAACCGGAGGAAGGUGGGGAUGACGUCAAAUCAUCAUGCCCCUUAUGACCUGGGCUACACACGUGCUACAAUGGCGUAUACAACGAGUUGCCAACCCGCGAGGGUGAGCUAAUCUCUUAAAGUACGUCUCAGUUCGGAUUGUAGGCUGCAACUCGCCUACAUGAAGUCGGAAUCGCUAGUAAUCGCGGAUCAGCACGCCGCGGUGAAUACGUUCCCGGGUCUUGUACACACCGCCCGUCACACCAUGAGAGUUUGUAACACCCAAAGCCGGUGGGGUAACCUUCGGGAGCCAGCCG